rnacentral:rRNA from 1 species
GUCUAUGGCCAUGCCACCCUGAACAAGCCCAAUCCUGUCUGAUCUUGGAAGCUAAGCAGGGUCGGGCCUGGUUAGUACUUGGAUGGGAGACUACCUAGGAAGACCAGGUGCUGUAGGCA